GCCUACUCCACCUGACUAGUGAGGUCCAGAAGUUUCGUUCUCCAGAUUCGGUACAGUGAGACUACCUGCCGGAGGUGUUUCAGAGCUAUUUGAGGAGCAGGGAUGCCCACGAGUUCCAUCCUUACUUUGUGUUUCCUUUUAGUUAUUAGCGAUGCUGUUGGAUGAGGCUUAGCCGUUUCAUAUGAAAGAAAAAGAAUUUGCUCUUAGGGAUCCGGGAGCAGCAGUACAAUCGCGGUGUUUUUUAUUUUAAAUAGGACUCUUCACAGUGUUAUUUUUGACCGGCGAACCUUCGGGUUCUUUUAAAGUUAUAUUUUUGUUUAUAUUCCUGGGUGAGCGGAAGGGAGAGGACGGGAGGAGCUUCCUGUGUGCCUGCCUGCAGGUGCACCAAUGCUCAGCAGAGGGCACUGAAUGCUGGGGAAACAUGCUUGUGAGCUGCCUGAAGAGGAAAUCAAUCUUUCAGGUUAAAGGGCAGCAAGAGUUCUUAACUGCUGAACCAUCCCUCCAGCCCCUUGUCCCUCUUUGAUCUUUGCUCUGAGGGGGAGGAGAGAAGAAUUGGGGGAUUUGAAACCCUCUUCCUGAACUUUAAGCAACACAUUGAUACCUGCAUGUAUGGCACAACUGAAGCAACAGCAACAUUUCCCUGUCCUGUGGGAAUGGCCUCGCGGACUAGUAAGGCCACUUUCUUGCUCCUAGCACCUUGCAUCUGAUGCUUCGUUCUCAAGGAAAAUCUCUUAAGACUCUCUUCUGGCUGUGGCCAGUUUCUGGAAUCCCUGAUUGGUUUAGUCAGAGCUCGUGGAAAUCACUAUUACUAAUAGGCAUGGGCAAGUACAUGUUGUGUCAUCUGGGACUCUAGCAUUGGAAUUCAUGGGGCAUCUUGUAACAGGAGGCCUGGACUGAGUACUGUAACUGAACUCUGAGGUUCUAACACGCUCCCAACAAGAGUAAUGAUGGAACUGUAGGGUUUAAUCCAAAUGCAAAAUGCCCAUGUGAGGAAUACAGAAAUUAAUCCAGUCUUUUAGAAAACUGACAUCAGCUUGAGUUUAAGUUGAGGAACAAUUUGUGCAGGACCCAGAGGGCUUCCUGACUAAGUGCUGUCAUCUGACUGUGCUAUAGGAGAUCAUCAUCUCAGUUCCUGUUCUUCCAGGUGGUUUGAAGAAGUCCGACUGUUUGAGAGAACCUUCUGGUUCCCUAAUUCUGCCCCUACUUAAGGCUAAAGCCAUGUUGCAAUCUGAAACAUGAGCUUGAGGUCACUGGAUCCUGUUGUUGAUUGGUCUUCCUGGCACAUUGGUUAAAUUUCUGCAUGGCAAUGAAGUUUGGCUGGUCCCCCACAAAGGAAAAGAGUCAGAGAAUGUAGACAGGCUGACAGUUUGUCAGUGUCAUCAGUUUGGAAAGUUGUCCUUGGCAGUGUUCUGAAGAAGUGUCCUUCCCAAUCCUUGAACUGUUCUAACCUUUGCCUGAAGGCUAAACUCUAAAAGACAGGCCCCAACUAGGGGAUUAUCAUGUUGACUGCCAAAUCUUUCUCUGUAUUCACAAGGCCCAGAAAAUCUGGUGUGCUUUGUAAGCCCCUCCUGAAUCUGCACGAAGUCUGAGUCCAUUUCAGUCUUCUGGACAGAGACAAAGGAAGGAAAAGUAUAAUAUGACUGCUAACUUGCUCAGCACCCUUUACCUACCCACCCUGCAUCCCAACAUGUCAUGUGGAAAAGUCCUCAUUUUUUAUAUUGAGAAGGGUUUUUUGUUUGUUUGAUUAAUUUUUGAUUUUUCAGUGAAGUCAUUUUCUUUGUGUCAAUACCUUUUUCUCUACACUUACCAGGCUGUUGUAAGAAAUAAACUGAGAAACAUUUGAUCUCUCCUCUUCCUCCACCAAGUGCUGACCCUCAGGCUGCACCACCAAUAAAUAGGGACCUGAAGAAAGGAAUGGGAGUUGUGUUUAUUUAAAAAAAGAUUAGACAGAAGGAAUACGUUUGGUGGAUGUGUAGUCAGGUAUGUGGAAGAGGGUGCCUCUGAGGGCCCAUGUUGAGGCAUCCCUUCCCUCUGAGAGGCAUAGGGAAGGGAGUUGAAAGGGUAGUAGGGACAGAGAAAGGGAGAGAGAGAGAGAGAGAGAGAGAGAGAGAGAGAGAGAGAGAGAGAGAGAGAGAGAAGAGGAGUAGAGGCUGGCCAUGAGCAUGCAGAGAAAGAAGGGAGGGGAAUGAGGAGAGAGGGGGGAAGGGGAGAGAGGACAGAAGGAGCAAGAAGGCAAGAACAAGAGAGAGAGGGGGAGGAGGAGGGGGCAAACAGUCCUUUUUAUUGUGAGUCAGGCACACCUGGCUGUUGCCAGGUAACUUGGGGGCAGAGUUUAAACAAAAUGCUGACAAUGGGGACUGGGGUCAGUUGGACAUAAAGGACUGUGGAGACUGCUGGAGACCAGAGUACUACCAUCCUGCAGUUAGUGAGAGAUAAAGCUGCAACAUUUCCAGCACUUCUCCAACCGCAACUCAGCUCAGCGGUAGCUGUUUUUCAGAAACUUCUGCUUUCCUCAACAGAAGGAAGUGAAAUAGAGAUGUUACUUUCUGGGUGGUUUAGCAAAACCGCUCUCUGUAUACCAUGUGCAACCUCCACACAACGACUUCCACAAUUGUGUCAAACCCAUCAAGCUACUCAACACACACACCAACAUACCACACACACACACACAUACACUCUCGUGCACACACACACACACACACACACACACACAGAGAGACACACACACUCACAUUGAAAGCUAUGACAAAAGGAAUCAAUCUCAAGAAAAAUCAAACAUGUUUUGCCAUUGGGAUGGUAUUUGUUCAAAUGCUGUCUGUUAUGUAAGAGGUUGUGGGCCAAGGUUGGGGGAGGGACAGAUGGGGAAAUUCCAAUGUGUGCAAUUUUUGUGGAAAGGAUGACCGUAGGAGUAAUGCAGUCUCAGGAUUUCAUUGUGGGAACUCGGGAGUACUGAGGGUGGGAAUGAAGCCAGAGAAAGAAAGUAGAAUUACUUUUGACAUUCUUCACAGGUUUGUUUAAGGGGCACCUCAUUGAGAGUCUGCUCAGAGCACUUGCGUGUGGUUUGCAGAGAGCGAUGGAGAUCAACUUUGCCCAUCCCUGAUCAAAAUGUAGAGAAACCUGCUAAGGUGUCUGGAGGACGGGGAAUCAAACAUAAUUGAAGAAAUACCUGGGGAUUGGAUGGGAGAGGGACUCAUGAGUUCCCACCCCUCACUGCAGAGCUAAUGGCAGUGGUGCCAGGAGGAGGAGGGUCAGUUUUCUUCAGAGAUGCAGUUCUGAGGAAGAUGGGGAACUGGGAGGGCAUAGGAGACAGAAAUAGGAGAGUUGGAGGGGAAGACUAUGAUCCAAAUGCAUUGUAUCUAAUAUAUGACAUUUUCAAAGAAUAAGUUUAAGUAUAUUUUUAGAAAACUAUGCUGCUGCUGUAACAACCUGUGGUACAAAUUCAUGACACUGAUACAGGCCUGAAGAGGCCCGUGGUUCUGACUUCAUUGAAAAGGCAAUUUUAUUUUGCAGUUAUGUUAUCUCCUAUGACAAAACAAAAAGUAGUAAAUAAUAAUACCUUAUAAAGAAAUAUGAAUACAACUAGACAUAACCAACGCCAUCUUAAUUGUCCUUGGUUAUAGGACAACCCAAUGUGGUUAUAAAACCACCCUGGCUUAACGUUCCUGAUACAGCUGCCAACCAUUGAGCUGUUUGUUCUUGAUUUCUGCUGAAGUGGGUUGGGUACUUUCCAGUAAAAACCGCCUAAACCCGUCCUUACUCAUAUUUGCCUAGCACGUAGCAGAGAAGCCUUCCUGUUUGCACACCAUGCUGCUGGCUCAUAGCCCUGUGAUCAGACAUAUUUCCUCCUGUGGCAGCUGCUUCUUAUUCACCAGAACUCCAUGUUUCCUGAAACAGGCUUUCUCCAUAUUGUGGAAAACUUGCAUGAUUGAAUCUUCCUACUUCUGAAGAUGAAAUGAGUAGUUCUUUGCACACAAAGUUUGGAGGGUGCUUCUCAUUCUUCUCUUCUUCUCCUUUUUCUCAUUUACCUGAGAAGAAUUUUAAAUGGGUCAAAGGAAUGAGUGUCAGUCACCAAACUGACAAGUUGCCUUGAAUACCUGUAACUUUGUUAGAAUAAUAAAUUCUGGAGAAAACUAGUCUCAAUGUUGCUUUUGUCUUCUUCUUUUUUUGGGGGGAGGAUCAAAUAAUUUCCAAAUAACAUCUGCUGAGGUUUGAAUAUUAAAUGUCUCCCAGAGGCCUAUGUGCCUUGCUAGGCAGCUUGUGACAUUGUUGAUUGGGAAAUAGCAGAAACUUAAAAAUCUAAGGCUUGCUGGGAGUAAGUUAAGUCACUGGUGACUGUGCAAACCACAGUUCCCACCCUAAAGGGAAUAAGAGGUAGAUUAUUGGGAAACUGUUUUGGGUGACCACAGCCCAGGAACACAGAUUUAAGUUACUCCAAAUUCCAAGUUCCAACAUGGAAACAGUUCUGUAAAGUUUUAUGCUUUGACAGAACAAAGGAAGCCGCCAAUCAAGGUGAGUUUAAAAUACACUAGUAGGAAUAUCAGAGAGGUAGGGAACAUCAGUCUCUCCUAGAGGCCUCAGACACUGUUAGAUGACAUUAUUAGCUCAGGGCGGCUAGUUGUCUGCUAAGCUAAUGUAUUCCAAAAGUCUUUUGCCUAUUAGUCACAGGAUGUGAUAGUUCAACAUAGACAUGGUCUAGGAAUUCAGACCUAAAGGAAGUCUGAGAUGAGAUAAAUUACCCUAUAGACAGGCAACAUUCCCACCUCUUAUCUGCCAACCUUGGCAGACAUGGCUUCUCUUUAAGAAUGCCCACUGACAGUGGUGGACAGUUCUGAUCUGGCCUAUAACCCCGCCCCCAUCCUUGUGUGUAACUUUAACAUGGACCCAGAAGCUAUUGAGCCAGCUAGCCAUAGUCUGAAACUUAGGCAACUCUUCUCCUCAUAAGUUGGCCAAUUCAGGUGCUUUGUUAUAUCAUCAGAAAGUUGACACAAUGUCCUUUACCAAGUAACUUUGGCCCAUAUUACCCUGGAACAGAAUCCUCUGCAUUUCUUCCUCAUCUGUUUAUUGUUCCUUUUGUAGACUUGACCUCUCUUGCACAUCCUCCUCCACCUCCUCCUUUGUGCCAGAAAAUUUCUCAGGCUUUUAAUUCAAUGGAUCCAUUAACUAGAAUAAUAAUAACUUUCCAUGCCCUUGUGUCACAGAGGCCUACUAUCAGGAAUUCAGAUUGUUGUGUUUAUAAAAAGAUAAAGCAAGAAGGACUAUGUUUUGGUGGAUGUGUGGUAAAGUGUGGGAGAAAGGGGUGCCUCCACAGGCCCAUGCUGAGGCAUCCCCUCCCCCUGAGGUACCAGCCAGAGACCGGGCAGAGGGGCGAGAGGGAGAGCAAGAAGGCAAGAACAAAAGGGAAAGGAGGGGGCAAUUAGCCCCUUUUAUAGUGAUUCAGGCAUACCUGGCCAUUGCCAGGUAACUGUGGGGCAGAGCUUAGAAAAAAUGCUAACAGAUGGAUUUGUUUCCAAAUACACUGUAAGAAACUCAUUUAGAUAUGACCUGCCUUAGCUACAGAGUGAGUUCAAAGUCUAUGUGAACAACUCUGUGAGAACCUUUCUCAUAAUGCAUUCUGUAAAGAGGGUCAGAAAUACAACUCUGAGAUAGAGUGCUGAUCCAGCACUCACAAUGCUCUGGGUAUGACACCUGUUGUGUUUUAUAAAAAGAUUGGAAAAGGCAGGGAUAUUUUUAGUGGAGGCGUGGUAAGGUGUGGGAGAAGGGGGUGCCUCUGAGGGGCCAUGCUCAGGCAUCCCUUCCCCCUCCGUAGUACCAGCCAGAUGAUG
ensembl:lncRNA